AAUGUCAAAUUGACCUUUGAACUGGUUAUGCCUUCUCAUCAUCAUGAAUUUACUUUAGAUGAUCCGAAUUCUUUGAGUGAUUUAUGCAAUAAGGUAUAUAGAAUAGCUAGCCGUCUUCAAGAGAAUAUUGUGGUUCAAACGUCUCGUGGUAUUAUGGGCAACAUUGCUUAUGACUUGCAUCUUGAGAGUGAGGAGAUAGUACGUUUCUUAAAUAUGGAGACCAUCGAUACUUCUCUUUUUCAGUUCUUUAUAAGGUAAUAAGUUCUUUAUUACUAUUUGUUCAUAAUACUUUAAAUUUAUUUAUCAUCAUAAUUUUUAGUAAUAUAUAUACAAUUGAUUGUGUGCUUGUAAAUAGAGAGGUCUUUACAAAGAUUUUGGUUUGGGAUAAAAAACCACGUAUGACUUCUUAGAUCCACAUUGUAUUAAACCAAAAAUGAAUAGCAUAGAUGAGAGGAUAACGUAUAUAAAUGACAUCAUAGGAAAUGAACAGAAAAAUACGUAAUUAGCUCCAUAUGUUCUCAAGUAAGUAUUAAUUACGGUUUGCCAAGGACCUUGUAGUCCAGUGGCAUCAAACCCUUCCCUUUAUAUGGGAGGUGGUGGGUUCGAGCUUCAGUGGAGGUAAUACUGACUCUUCUGACUCUUGAACUCUAAUAGAGUUAGUAGUAUUCAACAAAAAAAAAUAUUAAUUACGGUUUAAAUAAAAGUACUUAUAUAUAAUAUACUUCUAUUACAUAUUAUAUUCACUUACAACUAAUAAAUUACUUAUUUGUAGUGGGCAUAUUGGAUGUUGAUGGUUGUUUGAUUCAAUUGGUCAAGGACCAUGUGCAUGUGGACAUUAAACAGAUAAUGAAAACGUAUGUAUAAUUAAUAGUUAUUAUUAAUAUAGUGAUGCCAAGUAUUUACAUAUAUUUUAUGUCUUAUAUUAAUAGGUGUCUUACCACAACAAGCAUUUUGAAGGGAAAGAAAUAAAGUCAUUCACCAAAAUAGAUUACAUGUUCAUCUUUGUUGAAACAAGGAAGAUUGCCCUACACUCAACAAGAGAUUGAUGAAAUUAGAGACAAAUGAUGUAAUUAAGUUCCUUAUUGAUGAAUUGGUUACUAAAAUGCUUC